rnacentral:rRNA from 1 species
UAAGACAGAGGUUGCAAACGUUGUUCGGAAUUACUGGGCAUAAAGCGCACGUAGGCGGUCCACUAAGUCAGGUGUGAAAUCCCCCGGCUCAACCGGGGAAUUGCGCCUGAUACUGGUGGGCUCGAGGUCGAUAGGGGUGAGCGGAACUCCAGGUGGAGCGGUGAAAUGCGUAGAUAUCUGGAGGAACACCGGUGGCGAAGGCGGCUCACUGGAUCGAAUCUGACGCUGAGGUGCGAAAGCUAGGGUAGCAAACGGGAUUAGAUACCCCGGUAGUCCUAGCCGUAAACGAUGGGCACUGGGCAGGGGGGAUACCUAUGGUCCUCUCUGCCGUAGCUAAUGUGUUAAGUGCCCCGCCUGGGGAGUACGCUCGCAAGGGUA